AACCCUUGUCCUUAGUUACCAGCACGUUAUGGUGGGCACUCUAAGGAGACUGCCGGUGACAAACCGGAGGAAGGUGGGGAUGACGGUCAAGUCAUCAUGGCCCUUACGGCCUGGGCGUACACACGUGCUACAAUGGGUCGGUACAAAGGGUUGCCAAGCCGCGAGGUGGAGCUAAUCCCAAUAAAACCGAUCGUAGUCCGGAUCGCAGUCUGCAACUCGACUGCGUGAAGUCGGAAUCGCUAGUAAUCGUGAAUCAGAAUGUCACGGUGAAUACGGUUCCCGGGCCUU
rnacentral:rRNA from 1 species